UACGUAGGGGGCAAGCGUUGUUCGGAAUUACUGGGCGUAAAGGGCGCGUAGGCGGCACAGCAAGUCGGGAGUGAAAGCCCGGGGCUCAACCCCGGAACUGCUUUCGAAACUGCUGAGCUAGAGUACAGAAGGGGCAACCGGAAUUCCCAGUGUAGCGGUGAAAUGCGUAGAUAUUGGGAAGAACACCUGAGGCGAAGGCGGGUUGCUGGGCUGAUACUGACGCUGAGGCGCGGAAAGCCAGGGGAGCAAACGGG
rnacentral:rRNA from 1 species